UACGUAGGCAGCAAGCGUUGUUCGGAGUUACUGGGCGUAAAGGGUGUGUAGGCGGUUUGUUGCGUCGGCUGUGAAAUCCCGAGGCUCAACCUCGGGUCUGCAGUCGAUACGAGCAAACUAGAGUGUUGCAGGGGAGACUGGAAUUCCUGGUGUAGCGGUGAAAUGCGCAGAUAUCAGGAGGAACACCGGUGGCGAAGGCGGAUCUCUGGGCCAUUACUGACGCUGAGGAGCGAAAGCGUGGGGAGCGAACAGG
rnacentral:rRNA from 1 species